rnacentral:lncRNA from 1 species
GGAAGCUGGAUGAGGAGUUAGCAUCGUGCUAACAAUAUACUUACUGGAGAAAGCCUUUCAUCUGGCCAUCUCCAGGCACACGUGCAGAGUUAAUUAUUCUUCACACACCUCUGCUUGGGAGUGAGGUGAAGGAGGAAGCAGACCCAUUUUGUGGAAGAAGGGCAUCCGAAUUCAUCCUUUUACCCCACCCCUCACCUAAUAAAAGCUCGGCAUCACACUUACGGGCUGGAAAACAACAAGCCAACUCUACAGCGCUGCGGACGAGGAAGUAUGGAUGCCACACGGCCUUGAAAUGCAAGGCUAAUUUGCGGAGCAUAAUUACCCAAGGUG